rnacentral:rRNA from 1 species
UACGGAGGGGGUUAGCGUUGUUCGGAAUGACUGGGCGUAAAGCGCGCGUAGGCGGAUCGUGAAGUUGGGGGUGAAAGCCCAGGGCUCAACCCUGGAAUUGCCUUCAAGACUCGCGGUCUAGAGUUCGAGAGAGGUGAGUGGAAUUCCGAGUGUAGAGGUGAAAUUCGUAGAUAUUCGGAGGAACACCAGUGGCGAAGGCGGCUCACUGGCUCGACACUGACGCUGAGGUGCGAAAGCGUAGGGAGCAAACAGG